rnacentral:lncRNA from 1 species
AGAAACAGAUUCAAGUUGCUCUGUGUUAGCUCUGAGGCUGGCUACAUGAAGCUAUUCUGACCCAUAAGCCACAUAGAAGAUUUGCUAUGGCACUAUGCCUGACCUGUUAGCAGGUCUUUAGAAGGUUUUGACUGAAAACAAAAUUCAUCAAAGAGUCAUGUCGAAGAAUGAAAUGAAGAAUUUAAGGGAAUGUCUAAAAUGAAAAUGUCAUCACUGAGCUUCUAUUCACUCAAUCUACAUUCUGAUGAGGAGAUUGCUACAUGCUGAGAUGCAGUAUUUCAAGCAUUGUGGGAAAUUUACUGGAGCAAACAGGCAACUAUUGGAUUAUGAAGAUUGCUGUACUGAAUGGAACACAGUGUCAUCUAGGAAAUACCUUGCAGAAAGAACGAAAUGUUAAUCUUCUACAUGUUAAAGGCUAUGCUCUCUCUUUGAUCUGUUGCAGUUUAAGUGUUGCCCUAUAAAGGAUAGAAAGCAUUUUUCACAAUAUGCUGUGUUGCGUAUGGAGUUCAAUAAUAUCUUUUAAUCUAAACAAAGCAUAUUGUUCAAGCCUGAUUUUAACUUCUGGUUGUCAGUGGUUUUGUUCAUUAACUGUAAUUUUGGAUACUGUCCAUAUAGACAAUAUAUGUCAGAUUUUAUUUGGCAGAUAAUCUAUGUCCUGAGACUUUGCAGACUCUUUUUGCCAUGUUAAAAUCUUUCUCAUUAUGGUUUUUCACAUUUCUGUCUAGACUGUUUAAAAACAAAUUUUCUUAGCAUAUAACCAGUACAUAAAUGUUUAUACAAAUACAUUUCCCUAUUAUCAUAUAUCAGUUAUGCAUAUGCUUCAAGUAUCA